AUUGAACGCUGGCGGCAUGCCUUACACAUGCAAGUCGAACGGCAGCACGGGAGCAAUCCUGGUGGCGAGUGGCGAACGGGUGAGUAAUAUAUCGGAACGUGCCCAGUAGUGGGGGAUAACUGCUCGAAAGAGCAGCUAAUACCGCAUACGACCUGAGGGUGAAAGCGGGGGAUCGCAAGACCUCGCGCUAUUGGAGCGGCCCAUAUCAGAUUAGCUAGUUGGUGAGGUAAGGGCUCACCAAGGCGACGAUCUGUAGCUGGUCUGAGAGGACGACCAGCCACACUGGGACUGAGACACGGCCCAGACUCCUACGGGAGGCAGCAGUGGGGAAUUUUGGACAAUGGGCGCAAGCCUGAUCCAGCCAUGCCGCGUGCGGGAAGAAGGCCUUCGGGUUGUAAACCGCUUUUGUCAGGGAAGAAACGGCUCCUACUAAUACUGGGGGCUAAUGACGGUACCUGAGGAAUAAGCACCGGCUAACUACGUGCCAGCCGCCGCGGUAA
rnacentral:rRNA from 1 species